AGCUUUGCACAGUGGCAGUAUCAUAGCCAAUGAGGUUUAUCCAAGGCGCGAUUAUUGCUAAUUGAAAAUGUGAUGACAGAUGUGAAGUAAAUAUAUUAUUUUUCUCGGGACCAUUUACAUUCUGAAGGAAUGUAAUACAGACCUUCCUUAGGU
rnacentral:snRNA from 1 species